rnacentral:rRNA from 1 species
UACGGAGGGGGCUAGCGUUGUUCGGAAUUACUGGGCGUAAAGCGCACGUAGGCGGCUUUGCAAGUUAGAGGUGAAAGCCCGGGGCUCAACUCCGGAAUUGCCUUUAAAACUGCAUCGCUAGAAUUGUGGAGAGGUAAGUGGAAUUCCCGGUGUAGAGGUGAAAUUCGUAGAUAUCGGGAGGAACACCGGUGGCGAAGGCGGCGACCUGGGUAGAUACUGACGCUGAGGUGCGAAAGCGUGGGGAGCAAACAGGG